rnacentral:rRNA from 1 species
UACGAAGGGGGCGAGCGUUGUUCGGAAUUACUGGGCGUAAAGGGCGCGCAGGCGGCCUUAGAAGUCAGAUGUGAAAGCCCCGGGCUCAACCUGGGAAUGGCAUUUGAUACUCUGAGGCUGGAGUACGGGAGAGGAGAGUGGAAUUCCCAGUGUAGAGGUGAAAUUCGUAGAUAUUGGGAAGAACACCGGUGGCGAAGGCGGCUCUCUGGACCGUAACUGACGCUGAGACGCGAAAGCGUGGGGAGCGAACAGG